rnacentral:lncRNA from 1 species
UUCUUCUUAACCAAAUAACACCUUGCAAAGAAAUAAAAAUAAAAAUUAUAUCUAAUUUAAAUCUAAAUCAAUCAACGACAAUAAUUACUAAAACAAAUAACUUAAACUAACAUUAAUUACUCAAAUUUAUAAAAAAAAAUUACCUUUUUUUUUCCUUCUUUUUCCUUCCCUCUUCUUCUUCUCCUUCUCUUUUUCUUUUUCUUUUUUAUUCUUUCAACUGCCGUC